UGGGUAAUCGCUCAGCGCUCUUCGGUAGUGAUGAAAGAAUCAGACUCCACUGCAGAAAACACCUCAUUCUAUUCUCAGAAGAGUAAAAUGGAGAACGCCAGUGAACAAACAACACACCAGGGGUGUGGCAGUUGUUGCUAUUCAGAAAAAGAACACCUGCGGGGGGGAAAAGGAAACACCAGAGGCUUUCGCACGAUCCCUUUUUCCUGAAACUGACUCUGCUGAGGAUGUGAUGUGGAUACGGUUCUUAUCAAAUAUCUGGAACACAGAAGAGCUUAUUACAUGUUGUGUGGAUGGAUUAAGCUUGCUAAGCUAUUUGGAAACAGGAAGAAAAAGCGUGCCCGGAAUUCGGAGACCACCCAUGGAAAGGCACGACCUCCACUGGGUGUUCAGGACUUGAGGUGACAAUGUUUAAAGCAAGACAAACAACGAAAGAAAACCAAAAUAAUGUGGUUUACAUGCUAGGAGAAGAACAGUCUUGUAGCCAACAUAAACGAGCUCUCAUGGAAACCUCUGCCCGCCAAGAACACUUAACCUCCACGAAUGACAUCUGUGCCACAAGGGUGCAGCUCGAAGUCCCAGGUAAAGUAAACCAUCUCUUUAGGGUGGCAUGAAUGGGGCAGCUUCUCAUUCUCAGAAAAGGCUGCCAUUAUUUUGUAGAAAACAGUUGGGAUUUGAAACCGGAUCUGGCUCAACUCUCAACUGCACCUGCUUUCUGAGCUUCAGUUGCAUUAUCUGUAAAGUAGUAUUAUCUGACUGGCCUAAUUCAUAUGGUUGUCCCACACAUCAAAGAUGACAACGAGAGUGAAGAUACUGGAUGAAUUGUACCCAAAUAUUAGUUGGUGCUAGACCCUGAUUCAUGGAAGGUAGCAUCCCAGAGAUUAUUUUCUUCCCUAAUCCCUGUUUGAGGCAGGGGUUGAAAGAAAGUGGAGUUAUCCAAGGUCAUUGGUCAUGACGCUUCUUAGUUCAACCAUCACUUAAUGUUCUGAUGGGAAAGAGGCUAAAGAGAUCAAGUGGGCGAGGGGAGCCAUGGAGACAAAGUGGGAGUCGAUUGAGGACCAGGGAGGGUGGAAAAGGAAAAUAACUACCUCUCAGAAAUAAGGGCAGAGUUAAAAUUAUGCGAUGAAUAACAGCAAUAAUAUUACCUCUCACUUUUCUUCUCUGACAGCACUGGUUCUCCAAAAAUAAACCAAGAGCAGAAAGGCAGUAUGGCAUGUGGUCAAGAAUACAGGCUCAAGAGUCAGAUUAAUUCCAGUUUGAAUUCAGGUUGCCCUUUACCUGUAUCUUUACCUGUAUGUCACAUUGGGCAAAUUGUUUAACCUCUUGUACCCUCAUUUUUUUCUUUCAGCAAAAUAGAAAUGAUAUCACUACUUCCCUUAAGCGUUGUUAAAUGUUAUGAUGUAUGUUGAAUAUUUAGCUCAGUGCCUGACAAGUAGUAAGGGUCUAAUAAGUGUUAGCUCUUAGUAUUAUUAACAGUGCAGCUAUUAGCAGGGAAAUACUUCUUGAAUUUAAGGUGAGACAUUAUUCAACUUAGCUUGCUUCAUACAAAUGAGCCAGGAAUCCUUUGUGCAUUCUCUUUCCCUUCCUUCCUGAUCAACUGGCUCUUUUUCAAUCUGUCUUUUUUGUUUGUUUCUGCUUUUUAUCGCUAUGUAAUUGUUGUUCAGAUUUUGGGGUACAUGUGAUAAUUUGAUACAUGCAUACAAUGUGUAAUGAUCAAAUCAGGGUAAUCGAGAUAUCCAUCACCUCAAGCAUUUACCUUUUCUUUGUGUUGGAAACAUUAUAAUUCUUCUCUUGUAGGCAUUUUGAACUAUACAAUAAAUUAUUGUUAGAUAUAAUUUCCUUACAAAAAUGCAGUUAGAAGGAGUAAGUUCUAGCAUUCCAUCAGUCUUAAUUAAACAUUUUAUUGAGUGUAUCUUAGUGCUGAUCCCAAUGAAAGGCAAAUGGGACAAUUAAUUUGCCCAUAAGGAGCUUCAUAAAUUAGGACCAAUCUAAGAAUGUCACAAGCUGAUAUAAUUAUUUUUAUUUCUCAUAGCCCUAAGGGAUGUGAGAGCGGGAGUGGCCAGUACUCCCAAGGUCCUAUGAGGGUUGUCACAGCGACACACUUCAGCUCCCUGACAACAGAUGAGGUUCCAAGGUAGCCUUGUAUGGAAAUGCAAGCUCUGCUUCCACAACGCCUCCACCUCAUUGCUAUAACUGGUAUCAUAAUCAACAAGAUGAGACUGUCUUUCCUGUUUUUUGAAGUAAUGUUUGCUGUAACCUAGGAUAAAUAAACCCCGACUCAGUCUUUAGACCAGGAAGCACUUUCAAGGCCUAUAUCCUGUCCUGGCAGGGAGAUGGGAUCAAAUGAGCGAAUGGGUCUUUCCAUGGCUAACUGCUGUGACAGCUGCCGUGCUAAGAAUGGCAGGAGCCUCUAAACAGCAAGCUGUCCAGUGAGAGGAGGAGGGAAGGUCCACUAGGCUAUGUGGAAUUUUCAUUUCCGGCAGCAUUGGAAAAUGAGAUCUCGAGGCAGCCAUGUUUAUUCUGAUCAUGUGGAAAUUAAAAUUAGAAUAGGGGAAAUUUGAACCCACCUGGUCUAGGGUAUGCAGCAGACUCAUGACCAGAGGAGAUAAGUAACAAAAAACAAAAGACAAACCAUAAUAAUAAUAUAAAAAUAGAGCUAUUGGAAUAAUAUUUUAGUCUGGAGGAAAAACGGGUAGUCUCCUAUCUGAGGCGAAGCCUCAGUGGGAUUGAGGAUCUGGGAGCCCUGAGGGGUCACAGAAUCUCUGUAAAAGAGAAAGCAGGCACCGUGUGGGGAGGGCACAUGAGGCCCAGGUCCUCAGCUCUGGGUGGGGCAGAAGCAAAGGAGCUGGGCACACUGGCCUUGAUUCCCUCCAUCUCUUGCAGAUGCUCCCUGAACCUGAACUUUCAGCCAAGUGGCUAGAAUUUCUACUGUCUGGCAUUUGUCUGCUGGUCAAAGAAUGACAUCUACUGGUAAUAUGGUCUAGGAGAAAGACCCUGAAGCGAGAAGGCCAAGGAAUAGAAUCUGGUGCUAUCUAUGCAAACUGACUAUGAUCCAAAUCGAAUCUGAGCCUCAGUUUCAUCAUUUAUUAAGUGGAGAAAAUACAGCUUGUCCCACAAAUUUACUUGGAGGAGAGAUGAUUUAAAAGCAUAAGUGCUUUGAACGUAGAAAGGAAUCACCACACAUCUGAUAGGGUUCAUCUCCCUCCCUUUCAACCCCACAGUCUUGUCUCCAGUUAAGCUCUUGUGCUUGCCUGGACUGUGGGAUCCUCUGGCUGCUUUCUCCAGCUAUAUUUUGGCAGCAGGGUGCCUGGGAAGCACAAGUUUGGCAUUCAGAGAGUGUAUCUAGCCCAUGGCUGUGGGUGGCAUAGAAAAGAGCCAGGAGAAUUAUUUCUCUCUCGGCUCCCUUUCUCAGUUCCCAGGUCUGUCCAUGGGACCAUUUCCCCAGCUCCUUUCCCAUAUUUUGGUGGGGUGUAUAGGCACUGCACAGAGUUUGCCCGUUUCAUAAGAACUGACCACAGGGUGUCCAGCUGUGUGGUCAUCUUUCUUAAUCUUUCUGGCCUGGCAGGAGGAGAAUGGACCUUGGGCACAUUUUAAAGCCAUUUCUGUAAAACUGAUGCUGCAAGUCAAUGAGAAGCCUGCACUCAGCUUUCCAGGCAGGGUUUGCCAAAGAACAAAGAUCCGAUUCAUACUAACUCAUUGACUGCCUUAUUUGUAAUUUCCCCCCCACUUAAUAUUAUAAAUGCAGGCAACCAGGAAUGCAGGCUUCGCAGAUGACGAUUUGCACAAAUCAGUUUUGUUUUCCAUUUUCUGUAUAUUUCUUAUCUACCCCCUUCCCCAACCCAAUAUAACCCAUGGAAAUACCAUCAGUGCAGGGGUAGAGGAACCGGGGUGCCCUUGUCUAGAAUAGAGGACAGUCGUGUGUGGAGGAUGAGGCUGGCUCUGUAGGCCUCUGCAAAGAAGGCUCCCCAUCCUCCACCCUGCCACCUCGGUGUUUUCAAGGUGUGCUGUGAGUUGUGUGGGUGUCUGGCUGCAGAGUGUUCAGUAAGUCAGCAAUUUCCUCAGAUCUUCAUGCAGAAAUUUGAUUCUACCACAGGGAGCAUUGAAGCUGCUGACUUAGAAAUCACACAGAGUAAUUUAAACAUUUGGCACAUUUAUUUGCAUGCCAGAAAUGUGUAAAAACUGCCCGGCUCUUGUCCAUAACUCGUGGCUUAUCGACUGAAAACGACCACUGGCGGGGUUUCCUAUAGCUUAGGAUUUGAAUGCCUCAUCUCCUUGGGACUCAAAGGAGUAAAACUAUGGGCAAGAAGCCCGUUGAAGGGUAGGAAAACUGAGUCACAAAAAUUUAUUAAAAGAUUUUUCUGCAAUUAUCCUGUUUCUUUUGAUUCCAAAUUCUACAAUAUUUCCAAAGGUCCUCGUAGCCUCUUUGUAAACCAUCUCAGAAAAAGAAAGCCAGGUUUUCAUGAAAAAAAAUGUUGUGGUCUGAUUUAUCUCAUCCCAACAUAGCAAGUGUCAUAGGAGAAGUGGCUAUGGGUCAGCAGUUUCCAAUACAAAUAAUCUCUUCCUUUAAAAAGCAGAUUUAAAAAAAAAAGUAUAAAAAUUUAUUUAAUU